rnacentral:rRNA from 1 species
GACGAACGCUGGCGGCAGGCUUAACACAUGCAAGUCGAGCGGGCCCUUCGGGGUCAGCGGCGGACGGGUUAGUAACGCGUGGGAACGUGCCCUUUGCUCUGGAAUAGCCCUGGGAAACUGGGGGUAAUACCGGAUGUGCCCUGAGGGGGAAAGAUUUAUCGGCAAGGGAUCGGCCCGCGUCUGAUUAGGUAGUUGGUGGGGUAACGGCUCACCAAGCCGACGAUCGGUAGCUGGUUUGAGAGGAUGAUCAGCAACACUGGGACUGAGACACGGCCCAGACUCCUACGGGAGGCAGCAGUGGGGAAUCUUAGACAAUGGGCGCAAGCCUGAUCUAGCCAUGCCGCGUGGGUGAUGAAGGCCUUAGGGUCGAAAAGCCCUUUCGCCGGGGAAGAUAAUGACGGUACCCGGUAAAGAAACCCCGGCUAACUCCGUGCCAGCCGCCGCCGUAAGAC